CCUACGGGGCGCAGCAGUGGGGAAUAUUGGACAAUGGGCGAAAGCCUGAUCCAGCCAUGCCGCGUGUGUGAAGAAGGCCUUCGGGUUGUAAAGCACUUUCAGUGGGGAAGAAAGCCUUGGGGCUAAUACCCUCGAGGAAGGACAUCACCCACAGAAGAAGCACCGGCUAACUCCGUGCCAGCAGCCGCGGUAAUACGGAGGGUGCGAGCGUUAAUCGGAAUUACUGGGCGUAAAGCGCGCGUAGGCGGUCUGAUAAGCCGGUUGUGAAAGCCCCGGGCUCAACCUGGGAACGGCAUCCGGAACUGUCAGGCUAGAGUGCAGGAGAGGAAGGUAGAAUUCCCGGUGUAGCGGUGAAAUGCGUAGAGAUCGGGAGGAAUACCAGUGGCGAAGGCGGUCUUCUGGACUGACACUGACGCUGAUGUGCGAAAGCGUGGGUAGCAAACAGGAUUAGAUACCCCAGUAGUC
rnacentral:rRNA from 1 species